GGGAUUUCCAAACUAAGAUCUUCGGGAACCGCUCAUCAGUUUGCCUACUUGAUCAACACAUCCGACUUCCGGAUCCUGCGUAUGGAUGAGGACCAUGACCACAUGUAUGUUGGCAGCAAGGACCACAUCCUGUCCCUGGACCUUCAUGAUGUCAACAGGAACCCACGUAUUAUCCAUUGGCCUGUGUCUGAACGAAGGAGGAUGGAAUGUCUCGUAAGUGGAAAAGAUGCCUUUGACGAAUGUGCAAACUUCAUUCGUCUCAUUGAACCGUGGAAUCGAACCCAUCUGUACGUCUGUGGAACAGGCGCUUACAAUCCAGUGUGUACCUUUGCCAACCGUGGACACAAAACCCAGACAUCCAUGUAUCUGCAGAUGGCACAGGCCAAAGGAAGGGCUAGCCGUGCAGCUGAGCCCAGUGCUGUGCACGAGACACUCGGACUGAAGGAAGAAAUUUUCCAUUUGGAGCCAGGCACAGUGGAAUCUGGGAAGGGAAAGUGCUCAUACGACCCGAAGCUCAACAGUGUGUCAGCUUUAAUCAAUGGUGAACUGUAUGCUGGCGUCUAUGUUGACUUCAUGGGAACGGAUUCCGCCAUCUUCCGUACUUUGGGGACAAAGACCGCCAUGCGAACGGAUCAGUACAACUCCAGAUGGUUAAAUGACCCCACGUUCAUCCAUGUUCACCUCAUUCCAGAUAGCGCAGAGAAAAACGAUGACAAGCUUUAUUUUUUCUUCCGAGAGAAGUCCUCAGACAUGGGCCAGAGUCCCGUCACUCAGUCUCGGAUUGGACGCAUCUGUCUGAACGACGAUGGAGGUCACUGCUGUCUGGUCAACAAGUGGAGCACCUUCCUGAAGGCCCGGCUCAUCUGCUCUGUGCCUGGAGCUGACGGCACGGAAACGCACUUUGAUGAGCUCCGUGACGUUUACAUCCAGCCCACGCAGGACACCAAAAACCCAGUCAUUUACGGUGUCUUUUCUGUCUCUGGGUCUGUGUUCAAGGGAUCGGCUGUUUGCGUGUACUCUAUGGCUGACAUUCGCAUGGUCUUCAAUGGACCCUUUGCUCACAAGGAGGGGCCCAGUUACCAGUGGGUGUCUUAUACUGGGAAGAUUCCUUACCCCCGACCAGGCACAUGCCCUGGAGGUACGUUCACCCCCAACAUGAAGUCCACAAAGGAUUACCCAGAUGAAGUCAUUAACUUCAUGAGGAAUCAUCCCGCCAUGAACAAUGCUGUGUACCCAGUACACAAGCGCCCACUAGUGGUCCGUACCAAAGUGGACUAUGAGUUCACCACCAUUGCAGUGGACCAGGUGGCGGCUGCAGAUGGCAACUAUGAGGUGCUCUUCUUAGGAACCGACAAGGGAACAGUUCAGAAACUGAUUGUGCUGCCCAAAGAUGACCUGCAGACGGAGGAACUGGUUCUGGAGGAGGUGGAGGUUUUCAAGGUCCCGACUCCAAUAACGACAAUGAAGAUCUCAUCCAAAAGGCAACAGUUGUAUGUGUCGUCUGCUGUGGGGCUGACCCAGCUGGCGCUUCAUCGCUGUGACAUGUACGGCGAAGCCUGCGCCGAUUGCUGUCUGGCUCGAGAUCCUUAUUGCGCCUGGGAUGGAAAGUCCUGUUCACGGUAUUCCACCUCUCAAAAGAGUCGGGUUCUGAAGACGGAACAGGGGCUGCUCUUGCGCUCUCUGCAGCUUUCGGACUCCGGCUUGUACCAAUGCACAGCCACAGAGAAGAACUUUAAACACACGCUGGUCAAGCUGCAGCUGGUGGUGCUGUCGAAUCGGGCCAUCAACAACGCUCUGGUAGAUGGCGGUGGGGGGCUAGCGUCUCUGCACGCCAAUGCAGGCCAGUACAAGGACUUGCUGACCAUUUUGACCCAGCCAGAAAUGAGCCUGAUCAAUCAGUACUGUCAGGACUACUGGCAGUUUGGAGACCCUCUGCUGGGCGCCCUCAAGCCUAAAGACCUGAGGGAGCUGAAGGAGCAGAAGAAGCCUCGCAAUCGCCGGCAUCAUCAGAGCGGCAGGGAGGGAAAGGAGCACCAGGAAGCAGAGACAUGA
rnacentral:lncRNA from 1 species